rnacentral:rRNA from 1 species
CAGUGGGGAAUCUUAGACAAUGGGCGCAAGCMUGAUCUAGCCAUGCCGCGUGUGUGAUGAAGGUCUUAGGAUCGUAAAGCACUUUCGCCAGGGAUGAUAAUGACAGUACCUGGUAAAGAAACCCCGGCUAACUCCGUGCCAGCAGCCGCGGUAAUACGGAGGGGGUUAGCGUUGUUCGGAAUUACUGGGCGUAAAGCGUACGUARGCGGAUCAGAAAGUUGGGGGUGAAAUCCCGGGGCUCAACCCCGGAACUGCCUCCAAAACUCCUGGUCUUGAGUUCGAGAGAGGUGAGUGGAAUUCCAAGUGUAGAGGUGAAAUUCRUAKAUAUUUGGAGGAACACCAGUGGCGAAGGCGGCUCACUGGCUCGAUACUGACGCUGAGGUACKAAAGUGUGGGGAGCAAACAGGAUUAGAUACCCUGGUAGUCCACACCGUAAACGAUGAAUGCCAGUCGUCGGGCAGUAUACUGUUCGGUGACACACCUAACGGAUUAAGCAUUCCGCCUGGGGAGUACGGUCGCAAGAUUAAAACUCA